UACAGAGGGUGCGAGCGUUGUUCGGAAUAUUGGGCGUAAAGCGCUGGUAGGUGGCUUGUUAAGUCGCGUGUGAAAGCUCCAGGCUCAACCUGGAAAGUGCGCGCGAAACUGGCGAGCUUGAGUGCGGGAGAGGGUCGCGGAAUUCCCGGUGUAGAGGUGAAAUGCGCAGAUAUCGGGGAAGAACACCCGUGGCGAAGGCGGCUCUCUGGGACGGUACUGGACGCUGAGACGCGAAAGCGUGGGGAAGCGAACGAGGG
rnacentral:rRNA from 1 species